GUUGUUCCAAUGCAAACAAAAGAAAUAAACACCAGAAUACCAAAGAAUUUGUGACUGCAGCAAUAUACUGGGAGAAGUGAGGAGUUAUCUGACAGAAAUGUGGGGGACAGAAUAAAAGCAGGACAGAAUGAUCAUAAAACAUUGUUAAAGUGAGAUUAAAAACUAAUAGACAAACAUAAAGGUCUUAAACACAAUUAUUUUGCAGUUACAGUGCAAAAGGUGCAGCAUAGAAACCAGUCAAACAAAGGCACAGGAAAACAGCAGUGUUCAGUUCAGACUUGAAGGUGCUGGUCAAGGUCAUCAGCAAGUUGGUUUCAUCUGUGUGCAGCAAUAGCUAAAAGUAAAGAGAAUGCUUGGCCAUGUAGGUAUGUGGAGAAAUCAGUUCGUAAAUUAAAUUUUAGAAUAGCCUGCAUAUAAAACAUUAGUUAUAUUACAUGAGGCUAUUUCUCUUGAGGUAAAAUUCGAGUAGAAUACGGUAGUGUUUUAUUUAUUUAUUUAGAUGUUGGAGGUGAUUGCUGUGCAAAUGGUGGUGUUGAUGCCUGCUAGCGGUCCUCGGUUGCCCAGGAAACACAGAUGGUGGAUGAAGGGCGCGCAUACAAACGACCAUAAACCUGUGGCAGCAGCUGGAAACCGAGACCUCUGAUUAAUUCAGCUCUGUGCAGUCCCGUUUAGUCAAAGACGUCGCUGUUCUCUGCAAUCCCAUCCAUCCAUUUUCUUUGUCUCGGGGCUUCUGUCUGCGCUUUAUCCUGUUCUCCCUGGAUCGCACUCCCGUCAGUGCGCAGCUGUUGUUGGUGCUCCCACACCUGCUUGUUUCAGCUCGGCAGCCAUAUAGACGACGCUCCACCGCGGAUCAUGUUAGUGCGUAGCGUGUAGAUCCAGGAGGCAACCGGUCUUUUAUUGCAGGCGAAGACACUGCACACAGACGGUGUGGAUUUUCAGACCAGCUUCCUCCCAGCAUGAAAACAAAAGAAGUAAAAAAUCUUUUCACACCGUUUUAUGCUGCGGGACAGGGUAAACCCGGAGAGCACUGGUAACCUUAUGGUCAGUGUUGCAUGGACUUUGCACUGCAUUCAUCUACAGGGCAGCUGAUGUGUCACCAGUCAGAACACUGGGAGGAUCCACAUGGGGACCAACAACAGGACAGGUUAUGUGUACAGACCGCAUUACCUUUACUGUAACCAUGAGGGAGGUUAAUUUUCCCUGGUACAUACCAGAUGGAGAAUAUAAUAGCACUACUUAGUCAGUUAAAUAACUGACGAUAACCCAGUAAAGCCUAUAUCAAUUGAUUUUUUAUUUUUAUUUUAGCAGUGGAUGUGUUGCAGUUUCAUUUGUGUCUAAAUAAAACACAGUGAGGAGAUACAGUGAAAUGGUAGAACAGUCCCUAGGGUGUCUUGAGAGGACAGUUGGGUUGAGUCCCACUUGUGCUGCUUUGUGUUGUGUGUUCCUCUCCAGUUACAGCGACUAAAAGCAGACCAGCGCUUGCACUGGACCUCAUUGUACGACUGGCAGCAUCGCACCAUCUCCCUCUGCUGUGCAGCCUCCACAGACUGGGACUGAUGCAAAGUGCCACAACUGCUGCCCUGUACCUUCAGAAGGACUGGAUCCUUGUGCAAAUCUUACCCCACUGAGAGAUGACUUCUGCUGACUGUGUGUACCAGUGAAAAUGGCUUUUGAAGAGUUGCAAAUGUCACCACUCUUUUGUAGUCAGUGUCAGUGUGAUCGAAUUUAGCUGGAAGGUAUUUAACGGGUGGUGUUUUGAGUCUAAAAUAAUUUGCUGCAGUGCAGUGUUCUUUCAAAAAAUGUGUGUUUUAGCUGGCUGUGAGUCUUACUGACAUAGCUACUUCCACCCCCACUCCCUCUGUCUUUUUUUUGGUUGAUAAAAAACACUGACACUGCAGCCACCUUUUCACUCUGUUACCUUGGUUACUAUGUCUAACGUCAUGGUUACUUCUCUCCUGGAGAAGACACUUUAAAUUCACCAGAAGUGGUGUUUUAACUUUGUGUUAACUUCUCACCAAAACUAGCAUGUAUCCACGUCAGAGCCAGAACGGAAAAGCUGUGAUAUUUUAAGCCUGUGAUGUUAAAAAAAAAAUCUGCCCAAAUGUGUGAGAAUGGUUUUCUCACAUUUGACAAUGUGUAAUUCACACAGUAUGUUUUUGUUUUUCUUGGAACCUCUUAAUUUAGGUGUAAUACCAAGUAUUAUAAUAUACUCCAUACAGUACAUGCGUAGUUCUACUGUUAUGUGUGGGUGUAUUGUAUGUAUGUCUGUGUGAGUGCAUUUGUUUGUGUGCAUGUGCUCUAUUUGUGUGUGUGUUUGUCCCUCUGUUUGUGCAUGCACAUUAUAUCUAGCUGAUAAAACAUACAUUUACAGUUGUUUUCUUGUAGCUACAAACUUUUAAAAUGCCCAAAGCUCUUCUUAUCAGCACUGGAUGUACCAGACAAGGGUUAAAAAUAUUUACAAAAAUUCUUAGCAUUUGCUACAACCUCAUUAAAGUAGGUGUGGAUUUUUGUGGUUUGAGUAAUCACAGCAGUGUUGCUGGAAAUGAAUGUGUAGUUUUUUAUAUGAUGUCUGUUGGCAUUAAUUAAAAUAUCCUGAUGCCUACAGUCCCAUCAUCUAACAACUUCAAAUGCUAAUAAUAUAUGCAAAUAGCUUUUUACCCAAGUCUGGAUUGUACUAACGAUAUCUCACUAAUAUCUAACAGUACUAAUAUCUGCUAACUGUUGAAUGAUUACUAACCUGUACUCUGAAUGCUGAUGGCUGGGCUUUUUCUCUCUAACCCACUGACUAACCUUCUGCUUCAUGCACACACACACACACACACUCCUCUCUCAUGAUCCUGCAAAACUUCUUCUAGAAAUGACCAUCUUAGAUUAAUGAAUAAAGAAGAAAAUCUGUAAAAAUGUUACAGUAAGCACGUGAAGAAGGGUUUCAGGACUUGGGAAGGGAAAUGUCUUUAACCACAAGAUGAAGAAGAGCAGAAUCAGCUGUUGAUAUGAAACUGGGUUGGCCACAUAUUUGAAAGGAAGCCUUACAAAACCAAAUUAUGAUGUGAUUCCAAAUCAUAUUACCAACCUGUCACACUUCACAGGAUAUAUUUACAUCAUAUGAGACCAGCUUUUGUGUCUCUGCCUGCUCACUGUGUGGUCAACCUUUACAGGUGAACGCCCGGCUUGUCGUCACCACAGGUAAUGCAGUAAGACACAAGCUGAGCAAACCUUGGCUCCACUACUAACUCCUUUUAGCGUUGAUGCUAUCAGCGGUGAGGCUGCAAAGGUCCACCUGUUGCUCUUACUAACACCUUUUGUUCAAUGGCUGCAACAUUUUGUUCAAUCCUGAUGUCUCUUUGUUAAUCUUGAGUUAGCUCCCAGCAUGCCUUGCAGUGCCAGUGAUGUUCAUUAAAUGAUGUUCCAUGGAAGCGUUUAUCCAAAACAUCGUCAGGUGUGAGGAGUGUGUCCUUUAUAGCAAUGGGAAAACCUACUGUGAACAAGCACCACGGUUUUGUUCUCUUGAUAAACUACUAACAUCUCCUAAAGUAAAAUUAACAGUUACUAACCUGCAGAGCUUUUCAUAGCUCUCUGUAAACUAACCGACUAACCCACUAAUAAACUAAUAAUCUAACAAAAACUAACUAAAAUGACUUUGGCAAAAUUAGUGAAGCAGCCUGAUUUUGAGGCACUGCAUCACUUACUGAAUGUACUAACAGAAUUAAGGUUUUAAGAAUGAAUAACAUGAUCGAACGUGCCUGUGUGUGUACGCGUGAGAGGGAGCACAGACAAGCAUGUGAGAGUGUGUUUGUGCAGAGUGUGACGUGAUGAGUGAUGAUUUUCUUCCCUCUCAAACAAUAAUUUAACAAACAAUGCCAGUCACUAGAGUAAUUUUAGUUAAAUGUAUCCACAAUGUCUUUCUCAUCCAGUGUGGGCACUAACGCAGCUGUCAAACUAUCAAAGAAUACAAUAUGUGGAAGUAUCACGCAUGUAAAGAUAAAUAAAUGUACACAACCGUU